rnacentral:rRNA from 1 species
UACGAAGGGGGCUAGCGUUGUUCGGAAUUACUGGGCGUAAAGCGCACGUAGGCGGAUAUUUAAGUCAGGGGUGAAAUCCCGGGGCUCAACCCCGGAACUGCCUUUGAUACUGGGUAUCUAGAGUCCGGAAGAGGUGAGUGGAACUCCGAGUGUAGAGGUGAAAUUCGUAGAUAUUCGGAGGAACACCAGUGGCGAAGGCGGCUCACUGGUCCGGUACUGACGCUGAGGUGCGAAAGCGUGGGGAGCAAACAGG